rnacentral:lncRNA from 1 species
CGCGGCACGGCACUGCCGAACGACCGCGCACAGCGCACCGCAGCGAGGGCCCGGGACCGUGCGGGCCGCGGAGGACAGAGCAGCCGUGAGGAGAGGCAGCGGGGCCGGCUGAUGGAGCUUUUAAUUGGGGGCGGGAGGGGGGGGGAGUGGGAGGGAAAGGAAAGGAAGGUCCUCUGGAAAUAUCUUCCGGGAUUAGAACGAGGAGCGCUGGACUCCCAUCUCGAUGCGGCCCUGUAGGAAAGCGCUGCGGGGACCGCGAAAAAGCUGCUCGGAAGGACCCACGGGGCUGAAAACGGGGAUUGGAAAAGAAAAAAAAAAAAAAAGUAGAUGGUGUGUGUGACAAAAAAAGCUGGGUGAUUCUGUUUUCUCAUGCCCUCGCUCCUCCACCAGCUGCACAGCCAAGCGCAGGCUGCUUGGCCCUUAUAACUAUCUUGGCACGGAGUCAAAAGCUGAUAAGCAUUUGGGCGAGACAGCUCAACUGCUGUGCUGGAAGAAAAACAGCUGCCAUGAUUUCUGUUUGAUUGAGAGCGCUUACACACACGCACAAAAAACACAUCGGGCUGCAGAGACGGGCCACGAAUGCCUGAGGAUUCAGCUUCAGAAGAGCAAUGCACGUUUCCUUAAGGGAAAGAAAAAAAAAAAAAAGUUUUAUGCAGUUUUGCCUCCGUUCCUCCUCCCCUUUUUAAGGAAAAUGUACUGCGUAGACUCGCUCCUCUCCUUCCCAUCCCCCUCCAUAACCUCAAGCAAACUCGAGGAAUUGUGCCAAAAGUCCCGUUGCUAGUUACUGAGUGCGUUUUUUUCAAACGUCCCUUUGAUACUUCUUCCCCUUGUGCUUGCCAUGGAAUAUGCAAGUAAGAUAAUCUUUCCAUUACUUACCAAAAGUAAUUAAAAAUGAAAAGGGCUUCUAGCAAACCUUCCUUUUCCUACUUUUUUUUUUUUUUCCCUCUGAAGGGGCAGGAGAAGGGAGGCGAGGGAGAGAAGAAUAUUUUUUCUCUUUGCGGAGUCCAACAUUUGGCUUUUUCCAUUUGUGGCAGAUCACUGUAACGCUAUUGUAAAACAACUUCCUGCCCCUUUUGGCUCCGGUUCCAGAAGCUGCUAGGCUAAGUUCAUAGCGCAAACUUUUUUUCCCCCCUUGCCGAAGAAGAAAGGCAAAAAAAAAUAAAUGUCCUGCAAAUGAUUCUCCUCCUUCUCCGGCUGAUGGACUCACAAGGUGAAUUCAUUGCAGCUCUGUAAGAAUGUCACACAAGAGGCAGCGCUAUCCCAGCUGGAUAAUUCAUGAGCCGAAAGCAGAGAACGCCAUUUUGAGGCUGUCACACAUUUCUGUGUCCAAAGUGGAUAACACCUGCGGAAAGCAUAAGAAUGAUAUUCUCAUGCUGCAGAAAAAGUGCUGGUAGAAUGCGGUGAAAAAGGUGACGAACACAAUCUGAUGGGACACAGCAUCACGUUUCCUUACAAGCUGAAUUUCAGCGCUUGUCAACUGUAAUACUCUGAGACGCAGCUAUGACCUUGGAGGCCCAAGUUCAAUGCUGCGAUUGCCACGGCAUUUUUCUUUUAGAAGAGAGAAAUCCCGCCAUUUUCUCUCACAUAUUGCUUCUUCCCUUGAAAAAGUCUAGUAAGAGCUGGGGGGGAAUUAAAAAAAAAAAAAAAAAGGAAAAAAAAAAAGAAAAACGAGUAAAGACAGCACGCAGCACGAUCUAGUUCCCUGUGGUGGCAAGCCCAAGCUGCGCGCUCUCCUCAGUGAGGUCCGGGCGCGGCGGCCACCAGCAAGCAGGGAGCUGAGGCCUUCACUCCUCCGGUAUGCUGCCAUUCUCCGCCAGCACGCGCCGAAAUUAGUUCUCCAUUUUGUGGUGGCCCUUGGAGAGCAAUUCCCAUUGAGCGGGGAACAAAGGCCGUGACCCCGGGGUCAGAGUGUAAUGCAGGAAGCAUGACCUCCCCUUUGUUCACAACAGCACUGUUUACUCUGCCUAAGUAAAGAUCACCAAUACAUUAACUAAAGAGGAUUAAAAAGGUCAUAUCCCCAGGGAUGGAGCUCAUGCAAGUGGCAACUCUCUUCAGUCACUAAAUCAUUCCACUUUUUCUUUUUUUUUCUUCCACUUCUUCAAACAUAGAGACACCUUCAGCCGCCAAGGCUCAAUGGCAUAUUAUUUCCUGAGCAAAAAUACAUACAAAAUCCAUGUAGUCUUCCUCCCAAAACCAGGCUAAUUGCUGCACAGUUAUUGAACUGUUUUGAAGUUAUCAAAACAUUUCAAGUGAAAACUACCACCUCAGAAUGCUUUGUUUUCAACAUUUCUGGGAAAGUUCUAAGCUGAUUUAUAAUAUUGUUUGGGUCUUAAAACAGUUUAAAAACUGUAAUAUUUUGUAGAUAUCAUAAAUGUAAAUCUUAAAAUAUUUCACAGUAUACAAAUAUGCAGGAAAAAUACCUGAUGCUGGAGAACAUAAUGGCCAGCUCCAGGAUUUUUCACUGGUAAAAAAGAAACAGAGGAAAAUAAAGGAAAAAUAUGCUGCCUAUUAGAAAUGAUGCAUGCCACUAUCUGGGCUUAAUCAGGUUAAAUAAGCACUUACUUUUGCUGUUAAGCUUUCUGUUAGCAACUCGUUUACAGUAUCCUGGGACAAUAUUAUUAAUAUGAGAUUUAUCAACAGAAGCAAGGCUUCAUGUGUAGGCUUCCUUAUCUGUGGUGAUACUGCUUACCAGGAUCUAAGUGUUAACACCAGUUACUCAGCCAGGAUGGGAGGAAAAGAGCAUGUGAAUUGAGUGGCUUACACUAAAAUAUCUUCCCCUCUACCAUCAGGCAGGUGCACUUCUGAAGAAGCUAAGCAUUGCUAGGGGCUCCAGAAGAGAAUAUGAUUAAGGCCAGGCAGGGGUGCCACGCUGACCAAAGUCUUUGGAGCAGGGAGCUUAGUACCACAGACAGACUCCUCAUGGGCUAGAUGCAGUUGAAAGCGAGCACUAGAUUACCCAUGUCAGCAGACUUUCUAAGGAGGCCCAGGAGUGCCAGGCUCCAAAACAAGGUCCUAAACCAGCAGGGUACAGGAGUUAUCUAGAUUAACUAUUUGAGAUAGGAGGAAGGGUGUCUUCCAGUUCUUAGAUAAUUUGUGCAAAUUAACAUAUUUUGGAUCCAUAAUAAUACAUGUAGCUUUCUAGUGUCUAGCAACAGGAAUUAACACUUGAAGUGUCUCAUUCCAGAUGAAGCAAUCUGGGGGUCUCAUUAUACCCAGACAGCAUGCCCCUUCCUCUGUCUUCUGCUUGCCAUGCAUCCUCAAGCAACAUGCAGGAUGCGAAAGGUUCCUCCUCAGGACACCUGAGAAGUGACUUUCCUUGUUUGCAAGCUUCUUCAUAGCAGGAACCCGUGAAUUUCAAUAUGUUUUAUAAGGAUCUGAAGAGAGAAAUGAAAUCAAGAAUCCAAAAUAAAUAACAUUAUAUUUGCUUUACUGUAUUUUCUGUUUGCAAAAAUAAUUGCUUCCUUCGCUCACCCUCGCUGUUCCUUGUUCCUGCUGUUUCUGGUCUUUCCUUACCCCAGUAGGAAGAGAGGGAAAGAGACUAUCAUCAGGAAAACUGAAAGGAAGAUGCCUCUGUAGCAUGCACAUGCCGCCAGGAAGCAUGAGGUUUAGCCCAGAGGGCUCACAAAAUAAAAGAAACUUCCAGACUACGUGUUGGCAUCAAGAUGAGUGACAUGCCCACUGCAGGUAGGUGAAUGACUGGCACUCAGGACAACUCCCUGCAUUUCUCACCUCUCCACUUCUUUGUCUAGAAUGUAUGAAACUAAUCACACAGUUUCCAGUGACUGCUAUUCCUCAAAAUCUAGAAGAAAAAUAUUGGGCUUUUUAAUGCACCAAGGGUCAAAGAAAGAACACUGGAGUUGGAAAGUACUGACAGACAACUAAGUUUAAAAAAGUCAAUGUCCUUAGCAAAACAAGCUCUUAGGGAAAGAAAAAAAAAAAAAUCUACAACAGGUAUUUAAAAUAACCUACUGGGAAAUCCAGUAACACAUUGUCUCGUUGCAUGUUUAUCAGAUCUUCCCAUUGACUUAAAUGGGAACACUCUGCUUUUAUGCAUGAAAGAUUAUGCAGGCAUAGAGUAUCGGUUCAAAAUAAAGGGAAACAAUCUCUAAACACAGAAGAAGUACGUGGACAAGGGCAAACUGGGUACUGAGAAAAACUUUACAUAUGUCAAGGCAAAGAGGUACCUUUUUUCAAAAACAAAAAGCACUGAACUGAAAUUAAUAGAACUAAGAAUGUACUUACAAAGUAGUAUUUAAAACUGGGAUUAGAAGCAUAAGGACUGAACCAAGGAAUCAAAGACAUAAAGACAAUUUAUUGACAUACAGUAAAAGCAAGAAGACUGCACAACAGUUGUCUGGUAGGUUUGAAAUAGUAUUGGGGGAAAAAAAGGAGUGAAUAAAGAGGAAGAAAAACUGCAACAAAGAUAAUGGCUGAUUAUGACCUUGAGGUCUUUAGUCAUGCAAAAGAGUGAACUCAACUUUUCAUAUAUAUGGCCACGUUAACAUUUCUUGAUAGCUGGGUUCCUGAUGAGAGCUAUAUUAAGAAAAAAACAAACAAAAAUCUCUACAACCACUAACCCUCCUGAAGAAAUGCAAGACUAUACACCUCCUUCAGCCUGCAUGUCCUUCAUUCUCCAGUUCUUUUUCUUUCACUCCAGCCAAUGUAUGUAAAUCCAAAAUGGGAAGUAAAACCACCCUACAAGAAGUUAUGGAAUAAGACGUUUCUUCUCUUGGAACAGGAAAACAGCUGGAGGAAAUGUCACUCUGUGACACAAAGUUCUUGCACAGAUCAAUUUUUUUCUGGGUGGAACAAUACUGACCACUCCUCUCAAUGUCCAGAAAUCCAAACAGACUGAGAGGCAGCCUUUAUCUUAAAAAGAACAACUUCUUUUUAGGCCUAGAGCAGGUGGAAACCAUUGAAAAAGGUUUGUACUAACAAAGUGAUUAAAUUGUAUUUUCUGAACCCGGCAGAUUACAUCUCGUUAAUCUCUUCUUCUGCAAGUAAAGGGCAAGAGAGCAGCAGAUAAGAAAACAGAAAGUGCAGAAAUAACUGGAGAAACUAAAAGACAAGACAGGCUGCUCAAGAUUAAAAUCAGCGUUUCCAACCAAAAGAAAAUGCAUUCUUCUAUCUGGAAUGAAAGAGUGGUACUCCUUAAAUAGCCACAGAAAUAGUCCACAUUACAUGCCAAUGAAUUCUAGCAUUUAAUAAAAUGGUUGGAAGGCUACUUGAAAAUAUGUUAACCUGAAUGUCUAAGAAGAGGUUACAGAAUGGGGAGAAAAACAAUACAGCUAACGUAAUGAAAAAUACAUCUUUUUAUAUUGGAGUGGAUCUGCAGGUGAAAUUAUUAUUUACUUGGCCAUUCAAAAGGGCUUUGAUAGUGACUCAAAGAUCAUAAAGAAAACAGAGCAAUUGUGACCAAAAUUUAGGCUCAUGAUUAAAAACGAGCUAAGUAGCCCAAAGCAAAAUGUAGGGAUAAAAAAGGCACUUAAGAAGAAAAAGAUUAACAGUAAUUGUAUGCAGAAGUUACACUUGCAUCAGCUUUUAACAUUAUUUAGUAGUCUGGGAAAAAUUAAUUGUAAAACAAAGUGGCAAAAUUGACACUUGGAGUGUAUUUGGAUUACUGAAGAAAUUUAACAAAGUUAAACGAGUAUGAAACAACAUGAUAAAUACUUAUUGGUAAUUAUUAAGUAAGUUGCAUAGCAACAUUCUCAGCAAAGGAAAAAGAUCGGGGUGCCAUCACAACAAUUCAACAGUACUGUCAAAAAAAAAGACAAUUUUAACAGCACAUGCAAAAAAGCACAGAAACUAUGCUUCCAGUGGGUACCUGACUGGGAAAUACCUUCAAGAAGAAUGCUGUCUACAGUUCUUUUUACCUUACCUCAUUAAAACCACAGAACAUGAGUGUAAGGGCAGGUGACCAAAACGAUCUGGCUCUCGAGACGAUUGCCAUGUAACAUGACAAAGUGAUGAUGUUAUCAAGCACAUGAGCAACAGGGGACACGACAGAGAUGCACACUUUGAAAGUCAGAACUGUACUUUUUUACGUAUAGUGUUCAACAGGAGAGCACGCAGUAAAAUUAAAUGAGCAGCAUUAAAACUCUGGAAAUAUAUUACCUUACUAAGUGUAGGUAAGCAUGUGAAAAUCAGUGCCACAGUUCUUCAUUAAGGGACAUCAGUGAGACUUUGAAAGAAUACUGUUCUAUGCACAGCCUAUAGAAAUGUAACAUUAAAUAGGAUCGUUUGCUGGAAAUACCCUUGCACAAACCUGUAACAAAGCCAUUGGCCAAGGUAUCUGGCUGGACUAUUUUCUGACAAGGACAGGGUAUUCCAGAAGGAUCAAAUGCUGGUUGUUUUUGCCCUGCAUUUUCUUACCAACCAACCCUUUGUAAGAACGGUCUGGGUAGACUUAGCAUUAGACUGCAGAUCUAAUCCAGUGCAGUAAUUUCUACAUUUAAAUGUUUGCUAUGGUCAAAAACAAUGAUCCCCAAAACCUCUUCCCACCCCUACUACAAUGUGGUAAGAAUGAAAUAAUUUAUCCUCCAAGUUAGCUGCUGUGCCUGAUGCAAUGCUACCAAUGCAUUUCUCAAACUUCACAAAAAUACUUGGAAGCACGUAUUUUUUGCUACCUGCUUUUCCUCUCACCUUAAAUAAUUAGGAAGAACUUACAAGAUUCUGCUUCACAAUACAAAUGCGUUUCCUUAUUUUAUUAUCUUUUUUCCCCAUCCACACAUCGUUAUUUGUAAAACUCAUUUAAUAAUUCUGAGAGAUUCCAAGAUGUGUGUCAGAUGCUGGGAUAUUGCCACUUGUGUGGUGGUUUGCUACACUUACCCUUCAGUCUUGUGGCUAACAAUUCACCCAAAAUGUGAUAAUACCUCACCACAACCCACACGCUGCUGCUCUUCAAAGGAGAACAAGGAUACAUAAUUAUGAGAUGAUGAGCUCAAAUGUAAGACAGGAGAUGAGGGAACAGAUUCUGUAACCACACCUAUGAGUGGUUAAACUACUGAAGAAGUUUCUGCAGCUCCACUUUCACUCACAGCAUCAACAAAAGCCACGCAUUUUCAAAAUACUUAAAUAACAUUUGCUACAGGGGAGGAAUAAACACAGUGAUAAUACGUUGUCCCUGCAGAAGAAAAGAGGUUUAACAUCUAUUAAGAAUGUAAAUAAGUAUUAUCAACAAAUAGACCUUAUAGUCAGUGUAAGCAAGAUAUGCACACUUUUACUAGAAACACUGUCAAGAUCUCACUCCUCAAGAAUUUUUACUUUAAAAUAUUCUAAGUCUCAUUCCAACCUUUUGUGAUCAUGUAGUUUCACUCGUAACAGAAGGAACUGCAGAAGAAAAUAUCUAAGUGUAUCCAUGUCGAUGCAGGGGCUAACAGUGAAGCAUUCUGCACAGAAAUUAAGAACUGGUUACAGAUAGACUUUAGAGUCUACAAGAUCAGUCCCGUGGUGGAUAUUCUCAAUAAAGAAAACAUCAAAGCACUAUCCUUACUAGACUAAAAAUGUUGCAACUAGUUUUUGUGGGUUUUGUCAUAAUUAGUGAGUCAAGAAAUCUGGGGCAAAGCAAGACGCAAUUAAAGAUGCCAUCAAACUCAACAACUGUGAGAACUGACCAUCCUUUCAAAAUAUGCAUUAAUAUGAGAUUAAUGAGUAAGGAUUUAAAAAUAACAGGAUUACAU